UGAGAGAGGUUCUUUCCUUGCUUGUUUAAACAUCUCUCACAAUUCCAGCAGCUCAGAUAGAUCAAGACUGCCGUCCUGGGAUUCCUCCAACAUAUACUCGUAAUCCUGACUGCUCAUGAGAGAACUAUGCAACUGCUGCCAGCACGCGGGCACACCAACAUGCACCAUACAGGAAAAGGACAACUCUACCAGAAUUUCCUCCCUGGAUGCUUGGCCUCAGAUAACCCAAUUUAUGGAACUGCCUCAAUAUGUGUUGCUGGACAUAACAGUCUGAGUGAAGAAGAAUGCCAGAAAGAC